CCUGGCGCACCGAGGAGGUCGAGCUUCCACUGAAGGCGUCAUGAAGAUCCUCGCGGGC
rnacentral:misc_RNA from 1 species